GUGCCCUACGGGGGGCAGCAGUGGGGAAUACUGCACAAUGGGGGAAACCCUGAUGCAGCGACGCCGCGUGAGCGAUGAAGUAUUUCGGUAUGUAAAGCUCUAUCAGCAGGGAAGAAAAUGACGGUACCUGACUAAGAAGCCCCGGCUAACUACGUGCCAGCAGCCGCGGUAAUACGUAGGGGGCAAGCGUUAUCCGGAUUUAUUGGGCGUAAAGGGAACGCAGGCGGUCUUUUAAGCUUGAUGU
rnacentral:rRNA from 1 species